rnacentral:rRNA from 1 species
UACGGAAGGCAGCAGUGGGGAAUAUUGCACAAUGGGCGAAAGCCUGAUGCAGCUAUGCCGCGUGUAUGAAGAAGGCCUUAGGGUUGUAAAGUACUUUCAUCGGGGAGGAAAAAACAAAACUAAUAAUUUUAUUUCUUGACGUUACCCGAAAAAGAAGCACCGGCUAACUCCGUGCCAGCAGCCGCGGUAAUACGGAGGGUGCUAGCGUUAAUCAGAAUUACUGGGCGUAAAGAGCACGUAGGUGGUUUUUUUAAAGUCAGAUGUGAAAUCCCUGGGCUUUAACCUGGAACUGCAUUUUGAAACUGAAAUACUAGAGUAUCGUAGAGGGAGGUAGAAUUCUAGGUGUAGCGGUGAAAUGCGUAGAUAUCUGGAGGAAUACCUGUGGCGAAAGCGGCCUCCUAAACGAAUACUGACACUGAGGGUGCGAAAGCGUGGGGAGCAAACAGGGAUUAGAUACC